AUACAUGCAAGUCGAGCGGACCUCUUCGGAGGUCAGCGGCGGACGGGUGAGUAACACGUGGGCAACCUGCCUGUAAGACUGGGAUAACUCCGGGAAACCGGAGCUAAUACCGGAUAGUAUCUUGAACCGCAUGGUUCAAGUUGGAAAGACGGUUUCGGCUGUCACUUACAGAUGGGCCCGCGGCGCAUUAGCUAGUUGGUGAGGUAAUGGCUCACCAAGGCAACGAUGCGUAGCCGACCUGAGAGGGUGAUCGGCCACACUGGGACUGAGACACGGCCCAGACUCCUACGGGAGGCAGCAGUAGGGAAUCUUCCGCAAUGGACGAAAGUCUGACGGAGCAACGCCGCGUGAGUGAUGAAGGUUUUCGGAUCGUAAAACUCUGUUGUUAGGGAAGAACAAGUGCGAGAGUAACUGCUCGCACCUUGACGGUACCUAACCAGAAAGCCACGGCUAACUACGUGCCAGCAGCCGCGGUAAUACGUAGGUGGCAAGCGUUGUCCGGAAUUAUUGGGCGUAAAGCGCGCGCAGGCGGUUUCUUAAGUCUGAUGUGAAAGCCCCCGGCUCAACCGGGGAGGGUCAUUGGAAACUGGGAAACUUGAGUGCAGAAGAGGAGAGUGGAAUUCCACGUGUAGCGGUGAAAUGCGUAGAGAUGUGGAGGAACACCAGUGGCGAAGGCGACUCUCUGGUCUGUAACUGACGCUGAGGCGCGAAAGCGUGGGGAGCGAACAGGAUUAGAUACCCUGGUAGUCCACGCCGUAAACGAUGAGUGCUAAGUGUUAGAGGGUUUCCGCCCUUUAGUGCUGCAGCUAACGCAUUAAGCACUCCGCCUGGGGAGUACGGUCGCAAGACUGAAACUCAAAGGAAUUGACGGGGGCCCGCACAAGCGGUGGAGCAUGUGGUUUAAUUCGAAGCAACGCGAAGAACCUUACCAGGUCUUGACAUCCUUUGCCACUUCUAGAGAUAGAAGGUUCCCCUUCGGGGGACAAAGUGACAGGUGGUGCAUGG
rnacentral:rRNA from 2 species